rnacentral:lncRNA from 1 species
ACUUGAGUAAAUGCAAAGCAGUGAGAUUGCUGGGUCAUACAGAGUACAGGGCCCCCUCUGCUGGGAUCCAGGAACAAGCUAGCAAGGCCUCCAGACAGGGGAUUUCCACUGAUCCUUUGUCACUACUGAGCCCAAAAGUGCACGGGCAGCAAGUUACCAAAUCGCCUUCCACAAGGUCUACAAACCCAUCUGGGACACAUGGCAGGGACCAACACGCUUCUAGACUUCCCAUGUUCCAAGUCCACUUCUGCCGGCAGAAUAGAAACCUCGUCAGUUAUCACAACUCAGUAUCCUUCUAAUUAAAAUAUCUGACCAUGUCCCCAUCAGCCACUUGCCUCAUUUGGGACACCACCAACCAUCCUGCACGGCUGCCCAUGUUUCUGUUUCUCCAGCCCAAGCAUGCAGUUUCAGUAGGUCCUUCAGAGGCUGCCUGAAAGCAUCCCGCCUCCAGAGCCCUGUGGGUUGAAGACCGCUGUGCUCUUUUCUUUCGGCUUCACACGCUGGUUAGUCUUCUGUUUGCUUUGUCAGCACGGUACUUUUCAUUUCCUUCGUGGUGUUUUUAGGAGCUCCUGAAUUUCACAGACAAAUCCAGACCCCUGUGUGGAAAGCCUGCGGUGGUGUUCUCCGUCUUCCCACAGGACUCCCUGCAGCCAGGAAUUCUAGGGGAGCACCUGACGCGAGGUAUACGCCCAGAUGGCCUGAAGUAACUGAAGAAUCACAAAAGAAGUGAAAAUGUCCUGCCCCGCCUUAACUGAUGACAUUCCACCACAAAGGAAGUGUCAAUGGCUGGUCCUUGCCUUAACUGAUGACAUUCCACCGCAAAAGAAGUGAAAAUGGCCGGUCCUUGCCUUAACUGAUGACAUUACACCACAAAAGAAGUGAAAAUGGCCGGUCCUUGCCUUAAGUGAUGGCAUUACCUUGUGAAAGUCCUUUUCCUGGCUCAUUCUGGCUCAAAAUCACCCCCACUGAGCACCUUGUGACCCCCACUCCUGCCCGCCAGGGAACAAUCCCCCUUUGACUGUAAUUUUCCUUUACCUACCCAAAUCUUAUAAAAUGGCCCCACCCCUAUCUCCCUUUGCUGACUCUCUUUUUGGACUCAGCCUGCCUGCAUCCAGGUGAUUAAAAGCUUUUAUUGCUCAC